CUGGCCUUUUAGUUUUUGAGUUGCCAGGUUGUUGCCCUGGCGCCUCCUGAGAAUUCGCUCCUCCUCCUUGGGAAGUGCUUCGAGUUACCACCAUCCUUGAGUGUUCGACUUUUCCUGGAAGGAGUGUUCGACUUUUGCCUGGAGAGGAAAGUCGAUCUUCAAGAAGUCGAUCCCUAGUGCACUUGGAGGAUUCCUUGGAAGCCGAUGUUCGAAAGCCUAGCUCCUUGAGGGGUCGACUUUUCUUCGGAAGAAAAAGUCGAUCUCCUGAAAUGUCGAUCCCUUGCUGGCUGAUUUCCUCGCAAAAC
rnacentral:lncRNA from 1 species